rnacentral:rRNA from 1 species
UACGUAGGGUCCGAGCGUUGUCCGGAAUUACUGGGCGUAAAGAGCUCGUAGGUGGUUUGUCGCGUUGUUCGUGAAAACUCACAGCUCAACUGUGGGCGUGCGGGCGAUACGGGCAGACUUGAGUACUGCAGGGGAGACUGGAAUUCCUGGUGUAGCGGUGGAAUGCGCAGAUAUCAGGAGGAACACCAGUGGCGAAGGCAGCUCGCUGGGACGGUACUGACGCUGAGGCGCGAAAGCGUGGGGAGCAAACAGG